AGCACACCGUGCGAGGUAGAAAACGGCAUCGCGCCCCUCGCUCCUCCCUCCCUCGUCCGCCCCAAUCCCCUCCCCUCCAACCCUAGCCGCCCCGCUCCCCUCCCUCUCCACGGCGCCGCCGCCUCCUCCCCUUCUGCCCUGCUAUCCACCGUGCCGCCUCUUCCUCCUCUUCACUGCCCUCUCCAGCGGCGGCAAAGAACGGCGGCGCUCGAUCCGAUCUGCUGAAGAGAAAAGAUGAGAGAGGGAGAGAGACAAGGAAGGAGAGGAGGGAGAAAGAUCUCCCUCAUCGUCCUCGUCGCCAUCUGCCACUCCUCUGCCGUGCCCAGACCGCGGGAAGAAGCCGAGAAGGGAGGCCGGCCGGCGGCGGCCACGCUCGACAAGAUCCUCGCAUUAGCCUCAAGGGAGAGGAGGUCUACGUCCCCCGUCCGUGUGAAGGGCGCGAACCAGGGCAGUGGAGGCGCAGGGCGCGAACGAGAGGAGAAGGUUGAGCAUCCCGCCGACGACAUCGUUUCGAGCUCAAGAUGGUCUACAGAUACAUGCAACAAUUGAGGUUUCAUGUGCAAGGAAGCAAAGAAGAUGCGAGACCGUUUUUCUUUUGGAAUAGAAGAAUCAAAGGAUACACCGACCGAGUCAGUCUGAACUUCGAUUAAAUAUGAUAUGCGUGUUUACAAAUCUUUCCUUCAUGAAUAUUUUGAAACCUUCACAUUAUGCUGAUAUGUAUUUUCUGGCAGAGCAGUCUUCAACAUUGACGGUUACCAUUUUUAUUUUUUAUCUCAGCUCGUGAGAUUUCUCUACUGUCCUGACACAAAUUUACUCUCUAUGAUGAAUCCAAGGCUCAGUAUAAGGAUUUCCUGAUUUAUUAUUUGCCGCAUCUGGUGUUUCUCAUCUUAGCAUGAAUUUGAAGUGUCACCUUUUGCAUCCAAGUAAUACUAUUGGUUCACAUUGAUCCUAUCUACCAUGUACCAAAUCACUCACUUUUCUAAAUACUGAUAUGGAAUUAACCUUUGGUUACAACCCUAUUUGGUUUUGAGUUACAAAAUGUCCUUAUUUAAGAUUUUGCUUCUUAACAUGUUGCGUUACCAGCUCAUCCACUGAGGAUUUUGAAAUAUGAUAGUACUCUUCCUCUGUUUUCUUUAUCUUUUAUUUACAAGUUAGUUCUAUUGUGAGGAGAAGCUUUGGAAGUGGUUAAUCAGUUCAGUAAGAUAAUUUGAGGUCGACGAGCAGAUUGAUUGCUCAUAUAUCCACCUUAAGAUGGCCACAACGUAUUUCAGAUUUUAGCACAUUAGCUGCCAUCGUUUUGUGAUUUCAGAAAUAUAUUUCAUGUGCUGGAUGGCCUCACUCUUUUAUUGGGUUGUUUUCAGUUAAAGGUUAGAAGACAUGCCAAAUAAUGGAUACUUCUCAAUCAAAUGAACAAACAUGCUAUCCGCCGAGCUUCAAGACUGAAGGGAUAGAUAACCACAACUUCUAAUGACCUAUACCAGUGAUUGAUUGUAGCAUACUG